rnacentral:ncRNA from 24 species
CUCUUAUUCAGAGUGGUGGAGAUAUUAAGGAUCAGUGAAACCACGGCAACCCCUGACAAAAGGAAGGUGCCAACCUGAGCGAAGAAAUUCGAACAAUAAGAG